rnacentral:rRNA from 1 species
AUUGAACGCUGGCGGCAGGCCUAACACAUGCAAGUCGAGCGGAUGAAGGGAGCUUGCUCCUGGAUUCAGCGGCGGACGGGUGAGUAAUGCCUAGGAAUCUGCCUGGUAGUGGGGGAUAACGUCCGGAAACGGGCGCUAAUACCGCAUACGUCCUGAGGGAGAAAGUGGGGGAUCUUCGGACCUCACGCUAUCAGAUGAGCCUAGGUCGGAUUAGCUAGUUGGUGGGGUAAAGGCCUACCAAGGCGACGAUCCGUAACUGGUCUGAGAGGAUGAUCAGGCACAAUGGAAGUGAGACACGGUCCAGACUCCUACGGGAGGCAGCAAUGGGGAAUAUUGGACAAUGGGCGGAAGCCUGAUCCAGCCAUGCCGGGUGUGUGAAGAAGGUCUUCGGAUUGUAAAGCACUUUAAGUUGGGAGGAAGGGCAGUAAGUUAAUACCUUGCUGUUUUGACGUUACCAACAGAAUAAGCACCGGCUAACUUCGUG